UACGGAGGGAGCUAGCGUUGUUCGGAAUUACUGGGCGUAAAGCGCGCGUAGGCGGCUUUGUAAGUUAGAGGUGAAAGCCCGGAGCUCAACUCCGGAACUGCCUUUAAAACUGCAUCGCUUGAAUCCAGGAGAGGUGAGUGGAAUUCCGAGUGUAGAGGUGAAAUUCGUAGAUAUCAGGAGGAACACCGGUGGCGAAGGCGGCUUCCUGGACACUUACUGACGCUGAGACGGCGAAAGCGUGGGGAGCAA
rnacentral:rRNA from 1 species